rnacentral:sRNA from 1 species
AAAAUCUGAACAAAAUGAGUGAGAACUCACUACCGUCUCCUCAUCGAAACUGAGGUCCAGCACGUUGCCUCCCUUGGGGUUAAGGGUGGGACUGGUUAGCAGUGAGGGCGUCUCCGACUGUGUCACACACACGCAUGGAGGAGCCAGGUCACCACCAUUUGCGAGGCUCCCGUGUGAGGGUGGGCCAUGUACAGAUAUUCUAGCGGCCCUCUUGGAAUACAAGGUCCAUGUAAAGGCACUGAGGAGCAUAGAGCCAUCUGGCUUGUCCAGUGGUGGUAGGUGUCGCAGUAGACCCUAGCCUCAGACAGUUGACGUCUUAGCUUGGAAAGGUGCAUUUUGUCCUGAUUCCUGCUGCAGAUGCACUAAUUGGGGCUCUGGUGAUGUCGAUUCUAAAGCAAUGAAGCUUCUGUGGUUUGUGAUUGGAGCCCCAGGUCAGGUCUGAGGCCCUCGCCGUUGCAUCCCUUUGGGUUGCUGAGAUUCCUGAGUGCCAUGUGGGCUGCAGUGGCUGCAGAGACCUGGGGGAAUGGUGGCAGUUGUGAAAGUUAAUAGGCCCAUUUCUGCCCUUGGCAGUGGCUGAAUUGCAACUCCUGUCACGUGCUUGAGUCUUGGAGGUCGCCAUGGACUAUGCUGUGGUCCUAGGCCUGCAUUCCUCCUGCAGGUUGGCCAGAGGCCCAGAGAAGAAUGUUUGUGCAGGUGAGGAAAAGUGCAGUGUGAUUUACUGGGACAAUAUGUCCGCUAGGCUUGCAGGCACUGUUGUUCUGUUUUCAGUAAUACAGUGGGGUCCUUUUGGAGCUGCCAUCAGCUGGGUACAGAGGACAGGGCAUUGCUUGUCCUUAGGAGGCUCGGUGAAAGGUGACCUUUGUGGCCUUGUUGUCCCACUGCCAAUAGAAGGACUCUCAAAGGGCAUCUUUGGUGCCUUGAAGAGUUGCAAUAAAGAGGCCAAGGAACCAGCCCAGUGGGUAGUUACGUGGUGUACGCACAUGCCCCUUGGCCGCCAUUUGUCUCUUCGGCCUGGAAUUAUCAAGAUUCCCUAAGGUUGGGGCCAGCCGGCCAGCCCUGAUAGCACCCAUGUGUUUGCCCCCCUGGCAGUGAAGCAUCAACCUUUGAGGACCACCACGGUUGUGAUAGACAUUGCUCAUUGGUUGGCAUACCAAGGCUGCCUCAGUGUAGGAGACAACAGCUCCCAUGGCACUAUGGCAGAGACCUGGCACAUCCACGGUCUUCCCUGGCAGGUCUUCUGAAGUCUUCCUGAAAGCAUCCCUGGUGAUCUGUGAGCCCUUGGUCGUGUUGCCCGCCUUCUUCCUGUGGGUCUUGCUGGAUGCUCAUUGUCCCUGUGAGCCGAGGCCCUGGAGGCUUCAGAUUUAGGUGAAGUUGCCACGUAUGACUGUCCAUCAGCCAGGAGAUGAACCCCCACCCGUGAGGCAGUGACUCAAGGUGCAAGGGAGUCCGGCAAGAAGUGUGGCGCACCCGAGUUGCUGCCACUGCUUUUUGGAUCACCCAGCACGGUACGGCUUCUCCUGCCCCAAGACGUGUUGUGAAUUUCAGGUUUCCUGGGACUGCCUGAGUGGUUGUACGUAUACAGGGACCGUUCCUCUUGCUGAGAAGCCUGAUGGCUCUGAGUUCCCCUGGCUGCUGGAGGACUCCCGGGUCACUGGCUCCUCCUGGGAGCAGCCCUUCCUGCCGUGAGGAGGUGGGCAGCAAGCCAGCACGUGCUCGGAUCGAUGAUGACACCCUCACAUGCAUUCCUUGGAAAAUCUGAACAAAAUGAGUGAGAACUCACUACCGUCUCCUCA